rnacentral:rRNA from 3 species
CGCCUCUUGCAAAAUUAAUGAAUAAGAGGUCCCGCCUGCCCUGUGACUAUACGUUUAACGGCCGCGGUAUUUUGACCGUGCGAAGGUAGCGCAAUCACUUGUCUUUUAAAUGGAGACCUGUAUGAAUGGCACAACGAGGGCUUGACUGUCUCCUCUUUCUUAUCAAUGAAAUUGAUCUCCCCGUGCAGAAGCGGGGAUACCACCAUAAGACGAGAAGACCCUAUGGAGCUUUAGACACUAAAGCAGACCCUGUUAAAUACCCCCAAUUAAGGGCUAAAACCAAGGGGCCCCUGCCCUAAUGUCUUUGGUUGGGGCGACCGCGGGGAAACACAAAACCCCCAUGUGGAACGGGACUACCUAUUCCUAAAACAGAGAGCUCCUGCUCCAAGUAACAAAAAUUUUGACCUCCAGAUCCGGCAAAGCCGAUCAACGGACCGAGUUACCCUAGGGAUAACAGCGCAAUCCUCUUUUAGAGCCCAUAUCGACAAGGGGGUUUACGACCUCGAUGUUGGAUCAGGACAUCCUAAUGGUGCAGCCGCUAUUAAGGGUUCGUUUGUUCAACGAUUAAAGUCCU